GAUGAACGCUGGCGGCGUGCCUAAUACAUGCAAGUCGAGCGAACGGACGAGAAGCUUGCUUCUCUGAUGUUAGCGGCGGACGGGUGAGUAACACGUGGAUAACCUACCUAUAAGACUGGGAUAACUUCGGGAAACCGUAGCUAAUACCGGAUGAUAUUUUGAACCGCAUGGUUCAAAAGUGAAAGACGGUCUUGCUGUCACUUAUAGAUGGAUCCGCGCUGCAUUAGCUAGUUGGUAAGGUAACGGCUUACCAAGGCAACGAUGCAUAGCCGACCUGAGAGGGUGAUCGGCCACACUGGAACUGAGACACGGUCCAGACUCCUACGGGAGGCAGCAGUAGGGAAUCUUCCGCAAUGGGCGAAAGCCUGACGGAGCAACGCCGCGUGAGUGAUGAAGGUCUUCGGAUCGUAAAACUCUGUUAUUAGGGAAGAACAUAUGUGUAAGUAACUGUGCACAUCUUGACGGUACCUAAUCAGAAAGCCACGGCUAACUACGU
rnacentral:rRNA from 1 species